rnacentral:lncRNA from 1 species
ACACCUCUAGCCAUGAUAUUUAUUAGAUCUAGCAUAGUUAGUCUUUUAUGUCUAGGAUCUAACUUAUGGCCUUUGUAUUUGUUGGCUGAUUGACUGAUGGAUAGUUGUAUUUUUUGUUACCCAUAACUUUUAUAUGGCCUAUGUAUUUUGACUUGACUCUUAUGUAUUGUGACAUUUAUGUAUCUGAUAACUCUUCAGUCAUAUUUUGGAUA